CCUACGGGGGGCAGCAGUGGGGAAUAUUGGACAAUGGGCGCAAGCCUGAUCCAGCCAUGCCGCGUGAGUGAUGACGGCCUUAGGGUUGUAAAGCUCUUUCGCUCGGGACGAUAAUGACGGUACCGAGAUAAGAAGCCCCGGCUAACUUCGUGCCAGCAGCCGCGGUAAUACGAAGGGGGCUAGCGUUAAUCGGAAUUACUGGGCGUAAAGCGUGCGCAGGCGGUUUUGUAAGUUUGUCGUGAAAUCCCCGGGCUCAACCUGGGAAUGGCGAUGAAGACUGCAAGGCUAGAAUCUGGCAGAGGGGGGUAGAAUUCCACGUGUAGCAGUGAAAUGCGUAGAGAUGUGGAGGAACACCGAUGGCGAAGGCAGCCCCCUGGGUCAAGAUUGACGCUCAUGCACGAAAGCGUGGGGAGCAAACAGGAUUAGAUACCCUAGUAGUC
rnacentral:rRNA from 1 species